AAAAAAAAAAAAAAAAGAGGCACGAAAAUAAGUACGGGAAAAGUAUUAGGCUGUUAUGCAGAAAGACAAGGAGUACAAUCUACCUCACACUUUUCCUUCUGAUCAGGUUGUUCUGUUCAAGAUGUGACAUGGAGCCAACUUAGAGUGAAGAGGCUUCAUUUCUCAGAGAUGCCUUCCCAUCUGAAGGAUGUCUUUACAGCAUGUACCACCUCAUUGAUUGCAAAGGAAAACACAGCACUGAGCAGUGAUGGCAACUCCAUAGCAAAGCGGUUUGCUCUACCUAUGUUGUGUACUCUUAAAAGGAACUUUGGGAGAAUACCAAGGGAACAGCAACACAUUCCUGCACCCCGCUGCACUUAAGAUUCUUGCAUUCAGUUGGACAAUAGAAUCUCUUCCUACUUUGGAGUUCAGCAGUUUCAGAAAGUGGGGCAAGACUAGUUAGUAAAAGAAAGCGACAGCAUUGCAGUGAGGGCCAGUGCGAUCCAGAGGCCACCACAUUCCUGCUGUCAUGAGGACUGUACUUAGUCACCAUACGUGCUAUCAGGAGUAAAGUACUUCCUUGUUCUGCUCCUAUUCACUUAUUCAGCCCAUUGAGCAAAGCAGUGUGAGAGGCUGCACAUCAGUAUUCAAGACGCAACACAAGGAGCUGCGGGAAGGAGUCUGCUGCAGCAAGAAGCAGGGACAAGGAGUGCUUUCCCAGGGGCAAUCCCUGUGUGCCCUGCCCAGCACUUGUGCUCUGGGGUCACUGCAGGAGGUGACCAGUCUGGCAGUGCUGGAGCAGGGCGCCUUUGAGGUGAGUGGGGGCAGGUCAUGCCACUCAGACCAUCCCUCAGGCUACCUGCAUAGCCACUCUUUCACCUCUGCAUGUCACACACGUUAUUAGGACUGAGUUCAGGACUUCACUUUCUCCUUUAUAAGAGAAUCUGAUGAAUUUACAGCAUAAAACCAGUGGCAGUUUGUGCUUGGCAACAUGCUGUGUGAGGCCAGGGACCAAGUGACUCAGGAAAACUAUUAAUAGUCUCCAUUGGGAAGCUUAUUGCCUCAAUAACAUAAAUCAUUAAUUUGGCUUUUUAAUCAUUAAGAGAAUACCUUUGUUUGUUGGAAUGUUUGGGACAAAGUCAGACAUAAGAAUUCUUUCUGUUUUUCUUACUUCUAUUGCAUUAGUUAUUAACUAAACCACUAAACUCAUAACUAACCUCUUUUUGAUAAUUUACAUCUGAUGGAAUGAUUAUAUUUUUGUGUAUACAAAUUAGUGUGUGGCUAAGUCAUUAUUUCAAGAUGUAUUGCUUUCUAAGUGCUCUGUGUUGGCAUAUGAGAAAUCUGGAGCAAUAAAGCACAUAAUACAAACAGAUCAAAUUAAAGGAAGUGUUAUGGGGAUUUACCCAAGGCAUUUAGCUUGUCUUAAUACCAGUUCCUAAUGAAAUUUUGAGGAAAUGUGUGAAAAUUAUUUCUACUGCAGUAUUAAGGUAUCUUCUCCUCAAGACACCUCUCCUCUACAAGGCCAGUCAAAAGUUCUGUGGUUCUGUACUCAUUGCCAUUUGCCCUUUGUUCUCUCCCCUAAAAAUCAAACAGUAAAGCAAGUUCCAGUGAUUCAGACAGGAUGUAAGUAGAAGACCAUGCAUGAAGAUCAGCCUAGAAAGGGGUUAAAACAGGCAGCUAACUUAGAUCCUUAUUUUGUCUUAGAGAUGGAGGUGAUUGUCCAAAAGACACUAACGAUGGCAGAAUUUCCAGCUCUUCCCACGAAUGUGUGCAGCAGCCAUGGUGCUUUGCCCAUGCCUGCAGGGCUGAAGCCAGGUCAGCCUUUAGGACUCAUCCCAGGCAGGUAUGGGUGAAUGCCUCCCUGGAGACCCUGUCCACUUUCCAACAAGGCACAGGUGUCUUUUUAGUGCCACUGUUCACCAUUUGGCUGAUAAUACCUUGGUUCCGGGGAAGGUUAUGGAACGGAUAAUCUUAGGAGCCAUCGUGGAGCAGUUAAAGGUCAACUAGGGUAUCAGGCCCAGUCAGCAUGGCUUUACAAAUAGUAGAUCCUGUUUGACAAACCUGAUUUCGUUCUAUGACAAGGUGGCCCGCUUAGUGGAUGAAGGUAAGGCUGUCAGUGUGGUCUACCUGGUCUUCAGAAAAGCCUUUGACACUGUCCCCCACAACAUUCUCAUGGAGAAGCUGGCUGCCCACGGUUUGGAUCGGCGUAUGCUCUGCGGAGUGAAGCACUGGCUGGAUGGCCAGGCCCAAAUUGAGUUAAAUUCAAAUUGGCUGCCAGACACGAGCGGUGUCCCCCAGGGCUCAUACUGGGGCUGCUUUUAUUUUACAUCUUUAUUAAUGAUCUGAUGAGAGGAUUGAGUGCACCCUCAGUAAGUUUGCAGAUGACACCAAGUUUGGAAGGAAUGUUGAUCUGAAUGAGGGGAGAAAGGCACUACGGAGGGACCUGGACAGACUGGAUUGAUGGGCUGAGG